UUGACUCUCACACUGAAGAGGAAAUGACCCAGCAGCUGGGUAGGCUUAGUUGCUGGUUGCAAUCAGUUCACAUGUAAUGAAAAUACCUUCUAGUCCUGCACCACUACAAACUUGUGCUGUAAGCAUUCAGACAGCUGCCACAUAGAACACACUGAGAGGUUCAGCCAUCUUCAGGUAUUGAUUCACACUAUAGUCGACAUCCUACACUACAGAAACAACAGAACAAACAUUGUCAGCAGAUCAGCUGAAGUUUGUCAUGGUUCCUGUUGCUUCUUGUAAUGCUGUUUCAUACCACGAGGCUUUAUGAGAAAUCUGCAGGUCCUGAGUGUGUACUGUGGUACUGUGUACCUUUGCUACUCUGAGCAGUUCUGGCUGAGAAUUUCUGGAUGCAUCAUGAUGGAAUGCAAGCCGUGGAAG